rnacentral:tRNA from 1 species
AAAAAGGUAAGCUAAUUAAGCUAUUAGACUCAUACCCUAAUUAUAAAAACCCUAUAUUUUUUCUUUUUA